GGCCCGAGAGUGCUGGGAUCUUGCUCAAGUUACACAGCCUGCGCGGAGCGGGUCCAGGACUUGGCGCCAGGCCUCCCGAGCCCGCGGCGCUUCCUGACACUAGCUCUGCUUUCCCCAGACCCGGACAGCUGGUUCUUCCAGCCUGGGCGCCAGCGUGGCUCCCCCACCCGCCCUGCCAUCUGCCUUCCCCCUUCCCCCCACAGGCACAGGCCUCACAGCCCUGCACGCAGGUCACGUGGGGCCUCCCACGUGGCCGGGGCCUCCCCGGGGCAGGGACCACGUCCUCACAGUGGGCCACGGGCGCCGAGCCUUGGUGACUUGUCUUUACGACCCACAUUCUCACAGACCUACUUCCUUACAACACUUAGAAUCCUCCCCAAACCUGGGCACCUCACUCUCAUUUUCCUGAGGCUUAGAGAGGUGGGGAUUUUCCAAGGCCCCACUCCUGAGGCCAAACCCCAGGCUCUGCCAGGCUCCCUCAGCUCCCACGCUGCCCUGGGCACAAGGCAGUGCCAGCAUCUCCUGAAGGCCUCCUGCACGGAUGACCCUGUCCGAGCCCCGAGAGACGACUGGCCAGGGUGGCUCACAGACAGAAAAAGUGACGAGGAGGAGUGCAAUGCUGUCAGCAAGAACUGCCCAGAUGCCUCCAGAACAAAGAAACGAGUCAUGACAAGCUGCAGUCAUGGACCAGCGACCCGGAACCUCUUACCCAGCCCAGCCUCCUCGUCCAGAUGGGGAAACAGAGGCACGGGGGUAGGGGACACUUGCUGAAGGUCAUAGCUGCCUGGGGCAGCCUGGAGUGGGAGCUGAUCUCCUGGCCCCCAUCUCCCCGGCCCCAAACCGGGUCAGAAGGCCGCAGCUGGUGCGUGCCCUGG
rnacentral:lncRNA from 1 species